rnacentral:rRNA from 1 species
UGGGGAAUAUUGCACAAUGGGCGAAAGCCUGAUGCAGCGACGCCGCGUGAGGGAUGACGGCCUUCGGGUUGUAAACCUCUUUCAGCAGGGAAGAAGCGAAAGUGACGGUACCUGCAGAAGAAGCGCCGGCUAACUACGUGCCAGCAGCCGCGGUAAUACGUAGGGCGCAAGCGUUGUCCGGAAUUAUUGGGCGUAAAGAGCUCGUAGGCGGUUAGUCGCGUCUGCUGUGAAAAUCUCGAGGCUCAACCUCGGGCUUGCAGUGGGUACGGGCUGACUAGAGUGCGGUAGGGGUGACUGGAAUUCCUGGUGUAGCGGUGGAAUGCGCAGAUAUCAGGAGGAACACCGAUGGCGAAGGCAGGUCGCUGGGCCGCAACUGACGCUGAGGAGCGAAAGCAUGGGGAGCGAACAGGAUUAGAUACCCUGGUAGUCCAUGCCGUAAACGUUGGGCACUAGGUGUGGGGUCCAUUCCACGGAUUCCGUGCCGCAGCAAACGCUUAAGUGCCCCGCCUGGGGAGUACGGCCGCAAGGCUAAAACUCAAAGGAAUUGACGGGGUCAUAGCUG